rnacentral:lncRNA from 1 species
AAGAAUCACUGUUUAGAUGAUAGUGUAGGUAAAUUUACGGAAGCAAGAGAUCAGAAGUAAAUACAUAACAGAACAAAUUCUACCCUGUGUUACAAUAUCUUCCCCUGCCUAUAAAGUAGUACAGUCACUAUAUAAACAACUUACAUAUCUGCUGCUCUCUAGAAGAUCCAGAGAGGCUUUAAAAGUUUUAUUUUGGCCAGGCACAGUGACUCAUGCCUGUAAUCCCAGCACUUUGGGAGGCCGAGGCAGGUGGAUUGUGAGGUCAAGAGUUCAAGACCAGCCUGCCCAAGAUGGUGAAACUCCAUCUCUAUUAAAAAUAGGAAACAAAACAAAACAAAAAAAGAAUUAGCCGGGCAUGCAUGGUGGUGGGCGCCUGUAAUCCCAGCUACUUGGAGGCUGAGGCAAAGAAUCACUUGAACCUGGCAGGUGGGGGUUACAGUGAGCCAAGAUCGCGCCGCUGCACUCCAGCCUGGGCAACAGAGCAAGACUCAGCCUCAAAAAAAAAAAAAAAUUUUUCUUAACUUGGGUAGUAGUUACAAGGAUAUUCACCUUGUGAUAAUUCAUUAAGCUGUAAAUUAGGCCUGAUUUUUAAAAAUAGCUGUGAUAUCUAUUUAUACUAAGAUAUUAAAAAAUGAAAGGGAGAAUUUUUAAAAAACACAAACAAACAAAAAAAUCCCCAAGUUGUGAGUGGUUAAUUAUUUCACAGAGGAAAUAGUAUGUGGUUAAAUAUUUCAGAGAGGACAAAUAGUAGAAAAUAAAUCAAAAUAUAAAAACAAACUUAGAGGUGCCUCCAACCAUUUUCAUGUCUGGAAGCACAUGAUAACCUUUAUGAGCACACGGAGAUGAAAAGAUAGUACUAUAGUCUGGAGUUCCAGUCACCCAUGCUGCCCAGCCGACCAAGGACAGAGGGCUAAUUCCUUAAACCACCUUUGAAACAUUGGUGACACAGCAGUUGAAAGCUAUCUUCCUGAGACCAAGGGCCAGGCAAGAAAUGAAGUCUGGGAUUGCAGGCUGGGGGAAACUUUCACUAAUUGUGUGACUUUUCUAACUUUUUUUUUCUGUAGAGGCAAGUGUAGAAAUAAUUUUUUCAUUCGGAACUACAAGGCACAUCCUUCUGCUAAGCAAUCAAAAUUGAGGCUUAUUUCCAUUUCAAACUGUUUCUUUAUUCCUUGAAUUUGCCCUUUCUGAUUUUCUAAGAGUCUUGCAUUUCUUAUUAUUCAAAUAAUUUGGCAACAGAUACAAGUAGAAUUCUGCAAUGGUUGCUAGUAAGAGACUAGAAUUGAAAAGAGAGCCUGUGGAAAUAGAGGAUAAAGAAGCAUCAACAAAUGGGGCUCAUGAGCAACAGGUUUCAGAGAAGAUGGGGUUAAGAGACCAGAUAAAGAUUUUUGAGAAAUAAAUAAAUAAAGAAGAAUAGAGAGAAGACAAAGAGUGAAGGAAGGAGGGAGGAAGAGGGAGAGAGAGCAGGAGAGGGAAGAAAGAAAAGAAAUGACAAGAAAAGAAUUCAAUGACUGUUUCUCUACAAUUGUAGGGAUGUUGAUAGUCCAGCUCUAGAGGAUGAUACAGAUUUGGGUUCACAGUCCAGCUUUUCCAUUUGCUGCUUCUGUUACCUUGGAAAAAUUAUUCAAUCUCUUUAAUCCUUGGUUUCCAUCUGAAGAUUGGAUAUAGCUAUAAUAUUUUACUAUAUUUUUGUUGAUACUAAAAGUAAUGGCAGCCAGGCAUGGUGGCUCACACCUGUAAUCCCAGCAAUUUGGGAGGUUGAGACAGGUGCAUCACUUAAGGCCAGGAUUUCAAGACCAGCCUGGCCAACAUGGUGAAACCACGUCUCUACUAAAAAUACAAAACUUUUUGGACUACAAAACACAGCUACUUGGGAGGCUGAGGCAGGAGAAUCACUUGAAGCUGGGAGGCAGAGGGUGCAGUGAGCAGAGGUUGUGCCACUGCACUAUAGCCUGAGUGACUGAGCAAGAAUCUGUCUCAAAAAAAAAAAAGGAAAUAAAUAAAAGUAACGGCAUAUGGCAUAUGUACAAGGCUUAAUCCAAUACAUGAAUAAAAAAGAUGAAUGUAUAUAUGCAGGAAUCCAAAAGUAUAACCUUAGUUGACUAUUCAGCUCAUUUAAAGGAGUGAGAAGAGGAUGGAAAACCCCAAUGUCUAGACAUCUUUCUUUUUCAGGCCUGUACAAAGGACAAGGAAAGCAUGGACUAACACAUCUCAGCUGUAAUUGAGUUUAGCCAGAUGUACCAGCUGUCUUCUCUCAUCUUCCCCUGGGGCUACAGCUUUUAUAGAGUGAUUGGAGUUUGCUUGAGUUCGUUUCCUUCAAGUCAUGGAUAAGAAAGCCAGGGUUUUGAGAGGUGAUGGAAGGCCUUUAUGUCAACAGAACAGAUGAAGAGAACUCAGAAUUACAAAAUUUGUUUCCAACUCCACUACACCCAUUUUUGGAAGAUCUGUUUUGAAUCCACGUUUCCAAGGAUGAUUUAGAAAAAGACAGCAAACUGAACAAAGCCCUGAGGAAAUAUUAACAAGUACAACCUUUCCCUGGAAGCAAUACACAUUUUCCUGGUGCCUGUUUAUUGUCACCUUUAUCUCCUUACUUGGGCUUGACAGCAAGUGGUGAACCAGGAUUUAUCUUGUUGAGGCUCAAAGCUUUAGUGGUGUUGUCAUUCGCCAGUAGCUCUGGUUCCUCUCAGCAAAAACAGUGGAAAACACUUUUAAUUGUAAAAUACAUUAUGUUUAACUUCCACUAAAAAAAAAAGAUGGUGAAG